UUCUUAAACCAAUUUCAUAAUGGCAAACACAAAGGGAAAUAGACCCUCACUUCCCAUCACCAACCUCGUUCUAUUUCUCUUCAUUUCUCUCUCAAUUCUCCCCGACAUCACCGUCGCCAGGUAUCACCAUCACCCAUCCCUUCCAACACCACCGUCCCCUCCUUCGGUUCCACCGCCAUCGCCACCAAAGAAACCAGAGGCCGAGACAUACCAAGGAGGAGGCAUGUAUUAUCUGCCUCCUAAUCGCGUCUAGAAAAUCCCCAUACUGCUUCAUGCUACUGGAGUUUAACAACAAUACAGUAAGCCUUAUCAAAUAAAACUGAAGCAUGCAUGCUGCUGCUUCGUCUUGGGCGCUUUGAAGGAAUAAAAUGGUUAAUACCGUUGUUUGAACACGUUUUUCCUUACAACUCAGCAUAUGUUUAUGGUUUAGUGUGGGAGUUUGAAUUAUAGUACGAGCAUGUAUUAUAUACCCGCGAUCACGUAGCGUUUUAGUUGUUUUCAUUUACGCAAUAAAAUGAUGUUUUUCAA